CGGAGCAAAACACAAAACACAGUCUCAGUUCAGAUUGUAGGCUGAAACUCGCCUAUAUGAAGUCGGAAUUGCUAGUAAUCGCGGAUCAGCAUGCCGCGGUGAAUACGUUCCCGGGCCUUGUACACACCGCCCGUCACACCAUGAGAGUCGAUAACACCCGAAGCCUGUAGUCUAACAGCAAUGAGGACGCAGUCGAAGGUGGGAUUGAUAAUUAGGGUGAAGUCGUAACAAGGUAAC
rnacentral:rRNA from 1 species